GGAACCCAGCGCUGCACGGUGACCAGGGCAGAACAAGGUGGGCCGCCCUCACAGAACAAGGACCCCGGGCGACAUGGACUCCCACCCCAGAGCCUAACAGCGAUGGGCACCCAGUGUCCGCCAGCACAGCCUGGGGCCAGCACAGCCCUCCAGAAGCCAAAGGGCCAUGACACGACACUGAGUUUAACCAGGUUAGAAGGCAGAGGCCUGGUGGGGGGGCGGUCCACAGGCCUGCAGCUCAUCGUGAGAAACCCCCUUGGGGCUCAAAUACCCCAAAAUGAAGACCCAAGCAACAACCUCAGAAGCAGGAGCUUCUCUCUGAACUUUUGCCCCCUUCUCUCAGUCUCAUCAUCCCGAGGCUAGCCACAGAAACUAGAAUCCCUCUUCCCCUAGGCGGGCCCUAGAAACCAGAGCCCCCUUUCCCCAAAGCCAGCCAUAAAACCUAAAAACAGGACUCUCACUUUCCCUCUGCCGUAUCUGUGUAAAAACUGGCCAUAAAGUAAUAAUCUGAUCCACCUUGUUUGACUAUAGGUCAUAAGACCCCCAUUCCAGAGGGUCCUGCCCCACACCCAGAAGGUAGGCAGGCAGGCUGCUCAGAGAGACCAAGAAGAAUCUAGACAGGCCUGGCUGCAUUUCCCUGUUCAGUCAGCAUAGGAUCCUGCACUUUUUG
rnacentral:lncRNA from 1 species